rnacentral:rRNA from 1 species
GACAGAGGGUGCAAACGUUGUUCGGAAUUACUGGGCGUAAAGCGUGUGUAGGCGGUCUCAUAAGUCGGAUGUGAAAGCCCUGGGCUCAACCCAGGAAGUGCACUCGAAACUGCGAGGCUAGAGUAUCGGAGAGGUUGGUGGAAUUCUCGGUGUAGAGGUGAAAUUCGUAGAUAUCGAGAGGAACACCGGUGGCGAAGGCGGCCAACUGGACGAAUACUGACGCUGAGACACGAAAGCGUGGGGAGCAAACGGG